rnacentral:lncRNA from 12 species
GAGCUGAAGCAGUGCAUCUGACUCCAAUGUAUUUCCCCAAGGCACUUUUCCUGUGCAUGUCUCGGUGAGUAGGAUGAGCUGAACUGUCAGGUUUGUGUUGAUUCUACUGCAUGCAGUUCAAGGCACAAGCCUACCUCACAGAGCCCUGGAAUCUUCCAGCUGCUCCCAGGCCCUUCCUCUUCCUGGCACAUGAAUAUAAAGGACACAGUCAUAGAAGGCUAAGUCUUGGAGAGAUCUGAACUUCAAUAUUUAGAUAAAAAAUGAAACCUGAAAAUUCAACCAACCUUGCCAAAGGUAAUGUUCUUUCUUAUCCUUUUCUUUUUCUAAAGUUGUAAUUUCUUUCUGUUGGUUCAAAAAUUCUAU